UACGUAGGGUGCGAGCGUUGUCCGGAAUUAUUGGGCGUAAAGGGCUCGUAGGCGGUCCGUCGCGUCGGGAGUGAAAACUCAGGGCUUAACCCUGAGCCUGCUCCCGAUACGGGCAGACUAGAGGUAUGCAGGGGAGAACGGAAUUCCUGGUGUAGCGGUGAAAUGCGCAGAUAUCAGGAGGAACACCGGUGGCGAAGGCGGUUCUCUGGGCAUUACCUGACGCUGAGGAGCGAAAGUGUGGGGAGCGAACAGG
rnacentral:rRNA from 1 species